rnacentral:lncRNA from 1 species
GAACAGUCAUCAGUGCCAGAAAACCACAGACAGUAAACCCAAGACCCGCAAAGACCCUCAGUUUCAGAAGGAAAACCACUGUGAAUGACUCAAACUAUUCAACCUUUUCCCAUCGGAAUGAUGCAAAGUGAGCCCACCCUCCAUGGGAGCUGAAGUCCAUCAUCCACAGCAGCCCUCGACAGUACCUGCUCUGCUAGCCGCUACUUUAUACGGCCUCCAGGAACGGAAGACAACUAACAAUUUUGGAGCAACUGAACCAUGACAAGCGUCUUACGUACAUUACCUCAUUUAGUCCAUCUGUCAGCCAAAGG